UCUCUCGAUUCUUCGAACUAGGUUUCAGAGUAGAAGUCUAAUCUCAAAUGUGAACGAUGAUCGCGAAUUUGAUUAAACCUAACCUUCGGUAUUCUCCAACUUCAAUUAUAUUUCUAUUCACUAAUAACCUUGAGAUUUAAUCUAUGCUCAUACUAAUCUGCUUUCCAAGGGUUUUCCUAUUGAAAUUGGGGGUUCCAAUUUUGGUGUUUUAGGGUUUUAUGAAACUAAUUAAAUCACCCGCACCACCACCAUACUCAUCCAAAUUGAAUCACCACCACCGCGCUCCUCCACUCCUAAGUGAGUCGUCCACCACCAGCGUCAACACCACCAUGAUGUAUUUUUGAUGUUUCAUAUUAUGAUUACACUUGUGCUUUAUACCUAUUGAAGCAAGAGUAGGUGGUGAUGGAAUUUACAGAGGGUUGAGAAGUUUUGGUGUAGGUUAAUGGCAUUCUUAUUGCUGAAAAUACAUGAAAAGAUCAUUUGUUUGUAGCGGUUGCGAAACGACAAUCAACUUUUCUGAUUUUUGAAGCUUAUGUUUUCUUUAGCAGAGAGUACAUGGUGUUUAGGGGGUCUUAUAUAACUGAACUUGAACUAGAGGUUGGUUUUCAAAGCAAGCCCUCUUAUUGCAAGUUUUCCAACUAAUGGGAAAGUAGGGAACUGAUGAUUCCCAGGUUGCAGAAUUAUCUUGCAAGUUUCACCCUGCCCAAUUGUUAAGUAUAAUGAGAAAAUAGUUUGAAGAAUGUACUGGAUGGACUACGAAAGGGAAACCUCAAUUGAAGGAUGUUGAUUGGACAAGGAAGAUCUUGACCCCUGCAGCGUAUGUGGAUAUAUCUACAACCAAAUAUCAAAGUGGGGAGAUAGAACCUCAUCAGAUUACUGAGGUUUAAUCACAGCUCUAUGAAUAGUGAGACAAAAAGAUCGAUUCUUCCACGAAUAAAUUUGAUUAAGAUAAUAAUUUCCAGUAGAAACUGAUUCGAGUAUUAACAUUCUCAGCAAAAUUAUGAAUAAUUCUCACCAUUUUUUUUUAAAUCACAAAUACACACAACUCGGGUUUAAUUGAUGCGAAAAAUACUACUGGAACUCCCUCUAUUAGUCGGAGAUAAACCAUGACUGCAGAGCAGCUGGCCACUCAACAAGCAAUGAACCAUGAUCGAUAAAGAAUCUGUCCAAGUGCUUGCAGUUUUUGGCUGAAAUAACAGGCACAUUGUGCGUGCAUUAUCGCAUCAGUUUUGGUUCGGAUGCCCGUUAGCCGCUUGAACUGCAUCAGUUUUGGUUCGGAUGCCCGUUAGCCGCCGGUUCAAGCGGCAGGCGCAUCGCGCGUGCAUGUUAUACUAGUAAUUAAGAAAGAAAAGUAUUGUUUUGUAAAUAAUAAAUUGGACUAAAGAAGUGUUUAUUUUUGUAGAUGGAGAAGAGAGUUGGUCGAACUAAUGUGUUCAUUGGUAAACCAUAUGUGAUCUAUUUAUACAUGGUCGGUAUACAUAUCCAUACAUUGUAUAAAGACAUUUCACGGAUAGGUAUACAUAUCCAUAUAUUGUACAAAGAGAUUUCACGGAUAAGUAUACAUAUCCAUAUACGGUACAAAGAGAUUUCACGGAUAAGUAUACAUA